ACGGAAGGCAGCAGUGGGGAGUAUUGGGCAAUGGGCGCAAGCCUGACCCAGCAACGCAGCGUGAAGGAAGAAGGCUUUAGGGUUGUAAACUUCUUUUAUGUAGGACGAAGAAAAUGACGGUACUACAUGAAUAAGCCACGGCUAACUACGUGCCAGCAGCCGAGGUAAUACGUAGGAGGCAAGCGUUAUCCGGAUUUACUGGGUGUAAAGGGCGUGUAGGCGGGAAGGCAAGUCAGAUGUGAAAACUAUGGGCUCAACCCAUAGCCUGCAUUUGAAACUGUUUUUCUUGAGUAUCGGAGAGGCAGGCGGAAUUCCGUGUGUAGCGGUGAAAUUCGUAGAUAUACGGAGGAACACCAGUGGCGAAUGCGGCCUGCUGGACGACAACUGACGCUGAGGCGCGAAAGCGUGGGGAGCAAACAGGAUUAGAUACCCUGGUA
rnacentral:rRNA from 1 species